rnacentral:misc_RNA from 1 species
CACUUGAGGCGAAUCAGUCACCUCUGAGAUACUUCGCGCAUUUUGCUUUUCAAGAGUACUCUGAGCGCUAUAAAAUUGAGUAUACGAUUUAAUGUUGGUAGAAAUGAAGCCGUAUUUUGCGUUGAUCACCAUCACUGAAGUGUUUCUACGUCAAAAUUUGACCAAAAAAAUUUUUUUCUACCAGUCCCUAAAAGAGAGAAUUAGUAUAGUCGCCGGUUGGAUUACAUGGCAGAUACGCGCAGAUGUUCGAAUGAUAAAAUUGUUCAAUUCACGAUAAAUAUAAACAUUUUCGCUGUAUCCAAUCCACAUUAUCGAAAACAUUAGAUUGCAAGGCAUAUUGUUCGAGAGUCUAAGAGUAAUAGAAUCAGUGUGACAUAUACACAUUAUUGUAAUUUACAUGUAUUCAACGACAAAGGAAAACAUAACUUACAAUACCGUUGUGACUACACAGUAAAAAAUUGCUUUUCACCAGUAAAUAGCAUUUAUAUGUUCUCCCUGAUCUUUUUCAUUCGAUCAGUCAUUCGUUGAAUUCAAAUAAAACGCGCUAAAAUUUAAUACGUUUACUAACAAGGAAUACCAGCUGGGUGUCCCCUUCAAAUUCGUAGCAGCUUAUGUAUAUUGUAGAACAUUGAAAAAUUAAAGACACGUAUUUUUUUU